rnacentral:pre_miRNA from 1 species
AGAUGCAUUACUGGGCGACUCUCCCUCUGGCAGAAGCUGUAUUAUUUUAGCCACUUCUUAAUUAAAAUUAGCUCUCUGCCAAAGGAGAUUUGUCCCGCAAUUCAUCG